rnacentral:rRNA from 1 species
CUACGGGCCGCUCCAGUGAGGAAUAUAGCACAAUGGAGGAAACUCUGAUGCAGCAACGCCGCGUGGAGAAUGACGCAUUUCGGUGUGUAAACUCCUUUUAUAUGUCAAGAAAAUGACGGUAGCAUAUGAAUAAGCACCGGCUAACUCCGUGCCAGCAGCCGCGGUAAUACGGAGGGUGCAAGCGUUACUCGGAAUCACUGGGCGUAAAGGACGCGUAGGCGGGAUAUCAAGUCAGGUGUGAAAUCCUACAGCUUAACUGUAGAACUGCACUUGAAACUGGUAACCUAGAGUAUGGGAGGGGGAGAUGGAAUUAGUGGUGUAGGGGUAAAAUCCGUAGAUAUCACUAGGAAUACCUAAAGCGAAGGCGAUCUCCUGGAACAUUACUGACGCUAAGGCGUGAAAGCGUGGGGAGCAAACAGGAUUAGAUACCCCGGUAGUC